UACGUAGGGUGCGAGCGUUGUCCGGAAUUAUUGGGCGUAAAGAGCUUGUAGGCGGUCUGUCGCGUCUGCUGUGAAAAUCCGGGGCUCAACCCCGGACUUGCAGUGGGUACGGGCAGACUAGAGUGUGGUAGGGGGAGACUGGAAUUCCUGGUGUAGCGGUGAAAUGCGCAGAUAUCGGGAGGAACACCAGUAGCGAAGGCGGCUCGCUGGGCCACACCUGACG
rnacentral:rRNA from 1 species